rnacentral:lncRNA from 1 species
UACUUUCUACAUCUAUCACAAAAAUUAACAUCACAUCAAAUUCAAGCAAGCCAGAUUCUGGCACUGGUUUUGCACUCGGCACAAGUAACCCCACUCUCCAUUGUGAAUGGGGGAGAAACAACAGCAGCGGCAACCACAACAAAAGAGUGGAUUGUGUGUUCUCCACACAAAACAGAAAGCUGUGCCUAUUCAAGAAAUCUUGGCCACUUGACAGAAAUCAGAGAACUGACGCUGGAGCCCAGUAGCAGCUCCAGCCAAAGCAGUGGUGAAUUACCUUGCCUCUGGAAGCAUCCCCGUUACCUAGGAAAGGAUCUCUGUUGCAGCACAGAUCAUACCGACCCCACGCUGAUUCAGAAACACUUUCUUGAUGUACCACAAAAAACAACAAAAGCAACUGAAAAUGGAUUCACUCCCCACAGAUGCCCCACAGUUCAUCAUGCUGAAGCUCCUCACCAGAGGCUUUUCUGCCCAAGCACCAGAGUGCUGCUUUCCCACACAAUGAGGCUCCUGCUGGUCUGCGGUGCUUAUGAGAGCAGGGGGAGAAAGUCAAGUGGAGAGCUGUGUUUGAAAGGAGAGGAAUAAAAAUUACACGAUGAAGCGAAAGCAAAAUGGAACGAUUCAGGACCAGAAUUCUCUUGAAUGAACGUUCCUAAAUUUCUGGAUUGUGGACCAUUGACAAACUUCAAACCUAAGGGGGAACCACUAUGCCGCUUUCACAUCAAACUUUUAAUUAAAAGCCCUAACUGGAUUAUAUGAUACGGAAGAUUGGUAUCACACUGUGAUUAUGUGUCUGCAGACAACAAUUUGGAAAUAAAUAGAGGAUUAAUUUUUUUUAAGGGAAGACU